CCCCAACAGGAAGAAACCUCCAGCAGAACCAGGCCCAGGGAGGGGCAGCCCCCCGCCGGGACCGGCCGGGGCCGAGGGAGAGAACCAGGAAAAAGACACGCCGCGGAGGGGAGCAGAGACUGACCACCAAUGAUUAAAUGCAGAGUGGUGCAUACAGAGCAAAAAGAGAAAGAAACACUCAGUGCAUCAUGGGAAC